rnacentral:ncRNA from 1 species
AACAUACACUCUAGCCCUGGCGCCUGUGUCGAACGAUAUGGCGCCCUGGCCGUGGCGAAUUAGCCACCAGGGUACAGAAAGAAAUGACUGUGCCUCCCGAUUUGGAAAGGUGUACAUGGCUUCA